rnacentral:rRNA from 1 species
UUCGCAAUGCCCGAAAGGGUGACGAUGCGACGCCGCGUGAGCGAAGAAGGCCCUAGGGUUGUAAAGCUCUGUCGAGGGUUAUGAAAUAUAGAUGGGUUAAUACCCCAUUUAUUUGACAAAAGCCCAAAAGGAAGCCACGGCUAACUCUGUGCCAGCAGCCGCGGUAAUACAGAGGUGGCGAGCGUUGUUCGGUAUUAUUGGGCGUAAAGAGCACGUAGGUGGUUUUGUAAGUCAGGUGUGAAAGCCUUCUGUUCAAAGGAAGAACGGCAUCUGAAACUGUAGAUCUUGAGUAUAGGAGGGGAGAGUGGAACUUCUGGUGGAGCGGUGAAAUGCGUAGAUAUCAGAAGGAACGUCGGCGGCGAAAGCGACUCUCUGGCCUAUUACUGACACUGAGGUGCGAAAGUUAGGGGAGCAAACGGGAUUAGAUACCCCGGUAGUCCUAACCGUAAACGAUGGGCACUAAGUAGAGGGGUUUU